rnacentral:snoRNA from 2 species
AAGACUAUACUUUCAGGGAUCAUUUCUAUAGUUUGUUACUAGAGAAGUUUCUCUGAAUGUGUAGGGUACCCGAAACCACGAGGAGGAGGCGCAGUGUUCUCUCCUGAGCGUGAAGGCUGCUUUUGGUGUUGCUUAUCAGGACUAUCAGUAAAAAGGAAGAUUGGUAUAGAGAUGCCUCUACUUUCAUAGAGCUUGCAAUCAAGUAGU